GUGAUUAUCGGGGAAUAAUCACCCCGACUUCGUCUCGGCGAAUAUUCCCCGACAAUCACCUCGCCUUCGGCGAAUAAUUGUUAAUUGUUUUGCUUUUUCGACUUGUAAAUGUUUUGACUCAGGCACUCAGCGUAAGGUUUAGUAAAGUUUUAAGCCCUGUAAAGGCCAUAAUUUAGUGUAUAAAAUAACAUGACUGCACUUCGUGCGUUGUUCACUCAAUGGACUUUGACCACUGUAAGUUCUAUAUUUUAAUUUAUUAUAAAGUUUUGGUUUCUUAGUUUAAUACUGUGUAUACAAUAUGGUAAAUGCGCCUAGCAGUAUUAGACUUAAUUAUAUGAAAUCAGAUAGCAAAAACUUGUGUUAUAUAAUUCACCUGUACGUCUUACAGUGCGCGAGAACACUAACCAAUCGCAUUGCAGAACAAAAAGAUGAUCUAAUCAAACUAAAGCUCGUCCAAUCAAAAGAAAGAUUCAGGAAGCGUUUAACUGCAG